rnacentral:rRNA from 1 species
GUAUGUUAGAGUACUCGUAUCAAUAAGGAAUUCCUCUUUUCCGGGAUCCCAUUCGAGCAGAACUCCCAAUUUAAGAGUUCUUGGCUUGGAGUAGUUCUAGGAUGGGUGACCGACCAGGAAGUUGGUCCCGGGUGCGUACG